rnacentral:rRNA from 1 species
UACGUAGGGAGCAAGCGUUGUCCGGAAUCAUUGGGCGUAAAGCGCGCGUAGGCGGCCCUGUAAGUCCGCUGUGAAAGUCAAAGGCUCAACCUUUGAAAGCCGGUGGAUACUGCAGGGCUAGAGUCCGGAAGAGGCGAGUGGAAUUCCUGGUGUAGCGGUGGAAUGCGCAGAUAUCAGGAAGAACACCUAUGGCGAAGGCAGCACUCUGGGACGGUACUGACGCUGAGACGCGAAAGCGUGGGGAGCGAACAGG